GGGCGAUUAGCUCAGUUGGUAGAGCAAUCCGUUUACACCGGAAAGGUCACAGGUUCGAGUCCUGUAUCGCCCACUA
rnacentral:tRNA from 1 species